AAUGAACGCUGGCGGCAUGCCUAACACAUGCAAGUCGAACGAAGGCUUCGGCCUUAGUGGCGCACGGGUGCGUAACGCGUGGGAAUCUGCCCUCAGGUUCGGAAUAACAGCGAGAAAUUGCUGCUAAUACCGGAUGAUAUCGCGAGAUCAAAGAUUUAUCGCCUGAGGAUGAGCCCGCGUAGGAUUAGCUAGUUGGUGUGGUAAAGGCGCACCAAGGCGACGAUCCUUAGCUGGUCUGAGAGGAUGAUCAGCCACACUGGGCCUGAGACCCGGCCCAGACUCCUACGGGAGGCAGCAGUGGGGAAGAUUGGACAAGGGGCGAAACCCUGAUCCAGCAGUGCCGCGUGAGAGAUGAAGGCCUUAGGGUUGUAAAGCUCUUUUACCCGGGAUGAUAAUCACAGUACCGGGAGAAUAAGCGCCGGCUAACUCCGUGCCAGCCGCCGCAGUAA
rnacentral:rRNA from 1 species